rnacentral:rRNA from 1 species
GACGUAGGGGGCGAGCGUUGUCCGGAAUUACUGGGCGUAAAGAGCACGUAGGCGGGAUUUUAAGUCAGGUGUGAAAGACCGUGGCUCAACCACGGGGUUGCACAUGAAACUGGAAUUCUUGAGGGCAGGAGAGGAAAGUGGAAUUUCUAGUGUAGCGGUGGAAUGCGUAGAUAUUAGAAGGAACACCAGCGGCGAAGGCGACUUUCUGGACUGUAACUGACGCUGAGGCACGAAAGCGUGGGGAGCAAACAGGAUUAGAUACCCUGGUAGUCCCUGA